rnacentral:rRNA from 1 species
UACGGGGGGAGCAAGCGUUGUUCGGAAUUACUGGGCGUAAAGGGCGCGUAGGCGGUCAGGUAAGUGAGAUGUGAAAUCCUCCGGCUCACCCGGAGAAAUGCAUCUCAUACUGCUUGACUAGAGUGCGGAAGAGGAAUCGGGAAUUCCAGGUGUAGCGGUGAAAUGCGUAGAUAUCGAGAGGAACACCUGCGGCGAAGGCGGGUUGCUGGGCCGACACUGACGCUGAUGCGCGAAAGCCAGGGGAGCGAACGGG